rnacentral:rRNA from 1 species
UACGAAGGGGGCUAGCGUUGCUCGGAAUCACUGGGCGUAAAGCGCACGUAGGCGGCUUCUUAAGUCAGGGGUGAAAUCCUGGAGCUCAACUCCAGAACUGCCUUUGAUACUGAGAAGCUUGAGUCCGGGAGAGGUGAGUGGAACUGCGAGUGUAGAGGUGAAAUUCGUAGAUAUCAGGAAGAACACCCGUGGCGAAAGCGGCUCUCUGGAACGGUACUGACGCUGAGACGCGAAAGCGUGGGGAGCGAACAGG